AUUGAACGCUGGCGGCAGGCCUAACACAUGCAAGUCGAGCGAGCGGCGGACGGGUGCGUAAUGUAUGGGGACUGCCCGUUAGCGGGGGAUAACUACUGGAAACGGUAGCUAAUACCGCAUACUAUCGGAUAACCCAUAGGGGAUUAGCUAGUCGGUGAGGUAAUGGCUCACCUAGGCGACGAACCCUAGCUGGUCUGAGAGGAUUAUCAGCCACACUUGGACUGGGACACGGCCCAGACUCCUCCGGAGGCAGCGGUGGGGAAGAUUGCACAAAGGGCGCAAGGCUGAUGCAGCCAUGCCGCGUGUGUGAAGAGGGCCCUAGGGUUGUAAAGUACUUUCAGUCGGGAGGCGUUACCGACAGAAGAAGCACCGGCUAACUCCGUGCCAGCAGCCGCGGUAAUAC
rnacentral:rRNA from 1 species